rnacentral:rRNA from 1 species
AGUGAACGCUGGCGGCAGGCCUAACACAUGCAAGUCGAGCGGCAGCGGGUCCCCGCGAGGGGAUGCCGGCGAGCGGCGGACGGGUGAGGAACACAUCGGAAUCUGCCUGGUUGUGGGGAUAACGUAGGGAAACUUACGCUAAUACCGCAUGCGACCCUGAGUCGACGGACUUGGGGUGAAAGUGAGGGACCUUCGGGCCUCACGCGACCAGAUGAGCCGAUGUCGGAUUAGCUAGUUGGCGGGGUAACGGCCCGCCAAGGCGACGAUCCGUAGCUGGUCUGAGAGGAUGGAUCAGCCACACUGGGACUGAGACACGGCCCAGACUCCUACGGGAGGCAGCAGU